GGCAGCAGUAGGGAAUACUGCGCAAUGGACGAAAGUCUGACGCAGCAACGCCGCGUGGAUGAUGAAGCUCCUUGGAGUGUAAAGUCCUGUCAGUGGGGAAGAACCGCAUCGGUAGUAACUGACCGGUGCCUGACGGUACCCACAGAGGAAGCACCGGCUAACUCCGUGCCAGCAGCCGCGGUAAUACGGGGGGUGCAAGCGUUGUUCGGAUUUACUGGGCGUAAAGGGCGCGUAGGCGGACUUUCAAGUCGGAUGUGAAAUCCCCGGGCUUAACUCGGGGUCUGCAUACGAUACUGGGGGUCUUGAGUACAGAAGAGGAAAGCGGAAUUCCAGGUGUAGCGGUGAAAUGCGUAGAUAUCUGGAAGAACACCAGUAGCGAAGGCGGCUUUCUGGUCUGAUACUGACGCUGAAGCGCGAAGGCUAGGGGAGCAAACAGGAUUAGAUACCCUGGUAGUCCUAGCGGUAAACGAUGGGUACUAGGUGUCGGGGGUAUCGACCCCCUCGGUGCCGCAGCUAACGCAUUAAGUACCCCGCCUGGGGAGUACGGUCGCAAGAUUGAAACUCAAAGGAAUUGACGG
rnacentral:rRNA from 1 species